rnacentral:rRNA from 1 species
UGGGGAAUAUUGGACAAUGGGCGAAAGCCUGAUCCAGCCAUGCCGCGUGUGUGAAGAAGGUCUUCGGAUUGUAAAGCACUUUAAGUUGGGAGGAAGGGCAGUAAGCGAAUACCUUGCUGUUUUGACGUUACCGACAGAAUAAGCACCGGCUAACUCUGUGCCAGCAGCCGCGGUAAUACAGAGGGUGCAAGCGUUAAUCGAAUUACUGGUCGUAAAGCGCGCGUAGGUGGUUCGUUAAGUUGAAUGUGAAAGCCCCGGGCUCAACCUGGGAACUGCAUCCAUAAAUGGCGAGCUAGAGUUGCGCAGAGUGUGGUGGAAAUUCCUAUGUAGCGGAGAUAUUCGUAGAUAUAGUAAGGAACACCAGUGGCGAAUGCAACCACCUGUGCUCAUACUAUCACUGAGAUGCGAAAGCGUGGGGAGCAAACAGG